rnacentral:lncRNA from 1 species
UGGAUUUACUUAACUUAAACAUGUUGUUAAGGAAACAAAUAGCAUAGAGCUCCUAUGGAAUUGUAACAGAGGCUUACAUGGAGAUAUGACUGAGGCUGGCACCGUACUUUUAUGGGAGUUUUGAAAUGGCUGAAGGGGUAAAGUUGUAAAAACAAAUAGCAAACAACUCCUUCCACCUGUGCCCAAAUUUCCAUGUGAGCAGAAGCACCACGAACUGCAGUGUUGUCUGUUUUUAGGUGGUAUUUAUUUGCCUGUUUUAUUGUUGUUUUUUUUUCCCAUAGUUUCCCAGUUUUUCCCAAAGUUUAAUUUGGAUGUUGGUCUGCUUUAUGAGAGUAAGUUGGGCCUGUAGCUGCUACGCUGCUUCACAGGAAAAAUAUCUAUGUAUUAUGAAAAGUGGCCGUCUUAAAUUUAUUUUCUGCAUAUUUCUGAGUAACAGACCUAGGUAAAGAAAGUCACUGUAGCCUCUUGCUCUUCAUAUGUACAUUCUGAGUCAGAUAUUUCUCUCCAGAAAACAUUGUGAAAGGAUUCAUUGGUAAAGAUCCAAUUGCAAAAUCUUAGUCUAAAGUAGUGGUGGUUUCUUUCAACACAGAAAAUAAGUGCAAAGUGAAUGUAAGCAUUAAGUCUGUACUGGUAGUGCUACCUCCCUGUCAUAUAUUUUCACUUGUCAAAUAUUACUUGUUUCAGC